rnacentral:rRNA from 1 species
GCUCACUGGUCGAGUGACUCUGCGCCGAAAAUGUACCGGGGCUAAACGUAUCACCGAAGCUGCGGACUGUUCUUCGAACAGUGGCAGGAGAGCGUUCUAAGGGCUGUGAAGCCAGACCGGAAGGACUGGUGGAGCGCUUAGAAGUGAGAAUGCCGGUAUGAGUAGCGAAAGAGGGGUGAGAAUCCCCUCCACCGAAUGCCUAAGGUUUCCUGAGGAAGGCUCGUCCGCUCAGGGUUAGUCGGGACCUAAGCCGAGGCCGAAAGGCGUAGGCGAUGGACAACAGGUUGAUAUUCCUGUACCACCUCCUCACCAUUUGAGCAAUGGGGGGACGCAGGAGGAUAGGGUAAGCGCGGUAUUGGAUAUCCGCGUCCAAGCAGUUAGGCUGGGAAAUAGGCAAAUCCGUUUCCCAUAAGGCUGAGCUGUGAUGGCGAGCGAAAUAUAGUAGCGAAGUUCCUGAUUCCACACUGCCAAGAAAAGCCUCUAGCGAGGUGAGAGGUGCCCGUACCGCAAACCGACACAGGUAGGCGAGGAGAGAAUCCUAAGGUGAUCGAGAGAACUCUCGUUAAGGAACUCGGCAAAAUGACCCCGUAACUUCGGGAGAAGGGGUGCUCUGUUAGGGUGCAAGCCCGAGAGAGCCGCAGUGAAUAGGCCUAGGCGACUGUUUAGCAAAAACACAGGUCUCUGCGAAGCCGUAAGGCGAAGUAUAGGGGCUGACGCCUGCCCGGUGCUGGAAGGUUAAGAGGAGCGCUUAGCGUAAGCGAAGGUGCGAAUUGAAGCCCCAGUAAACGGCGGCCGUAACAAUAACGGUCCUAAGGUAGCGAAAUUCCUUGUCGGGUAAGUUCCGACCCGCACGAAAGGCGCAACGAUCUGGGCACUGUCUCAACGAGAGACUCGGUGAAAUUAUAGUACCUGUGAAGAUGCAGGUUACCCGCGACAGGACGGAAAGACCCCGUGGAGCUUUACAGCAGCCUGAUAUUGAACGUUGGUACAGCUUGUACAGGAUAGGUAGGAGCCUUGGAAACCGGAGCGCCAGCUUCGGUGGAGGCAUCGGUGGGAUACUACCCUGGCUGUAUUGACCUUCUAACCCGCCGCCCUUAUCGGGCGGGGAGACAGUGUCAGGUGGGCAGUUUGACUGGGGGGGUCGCCUCCUAAAAGGUAACGGAGGCGCCCAAAGGUUCCCUCAGAAUGGUUGGAAAUCAUUCGCAGAGUGUGAAGGCACAAGGGAGCUUGACUGCGAGACCUACAAGUCGAGCAGGGACGAAAGUCGGGCUUAGUGAUCCGGUGGUUCCGCAUGGAAGGGCCAUCGCUCAGCGGAUAAAAGCUACCCCGGGGAUAACAGGCUUAUCUCCCCCAAGAGUCCACAUCGACGGGGAGGUUUGGCACCUC